UGAUUUAGAUUCAUAAAAUAGUGGAGAAUUACUAGAAUAAAUCUCAUAAAAGUUAGGAUGAAGAAGUUAUCCCACUUUCAAAACAGGUGGUUACUAUUUUCAUAUUUGGAAAUAUGACAACUUCUUCAUCAUUCUAAUCAAACCAAGAUAGUUGCAAUGUAAGAUGCUGUAUUUUGAUAUAUUAACUAGUGGAGAAGCUUAAAGACGUUGAAUAAAUCUCAAAUGAGUUAGGAUGAAGAAGUUAUUUCACUUUCAAAUCAGGUGAUCCCUGUUUUCCUGAUUGGAAAAUGACAACUUCUUUGUCAUUCUAAUCAAACCAGGAUGAAUCACGAUGUAAGAAGCUGUAUUUGGAUACAUAAAGUAGUUGAGAAUCAUCAGGAAGUUGAAUAAAUCUCAUAGGUGUUAGGAUGAAGAAGUUAUCUGACUUUCAAAUCAGGUGAUCCCUGUUUUCCUGAUUGGAAAUAUGACAACUUCUUUGUCAUUCUAAUCAAACCAGGAUGAAUCACGAUGUAAGAAGCGGUAUUUGGAUACAUAAAGUAGUUGAGAAUCAUCAGGAAGUUGAAUAAAUCUCAUAGGUGUUAGGAUGAAGAAGUUAUCCCACUUUCAAAUAAGGUGAUUCCAGUUUUCAUGUAUGUGAAUAUGAUAAAUUAUUCGUCAUUCUAAUCAAGCCAGGAUGUAUCUGAUGUAAGAAGUUUUAUUUGGAUACAUAAACUAGAGGAGAAUCACCAGGAAGUUGAUUAAAUCUCAUAGGAGUUAGGAUGUAGAAGUUAUCCCACUUUCUAAUAAGAUGUCCCAAUCUUCACGUUUGGGAAUAUGACAACUUUUUCGUUAUUCUAAUCAAACCAGGAUGAAUC